CUUAUCCGCUUCACCCAUUCCAAGAACCAAUUGAAUUCUGCUUCGACCGAAAUUCUCAACUCAGAUUGUUUGAGGCAUAAGGCAAAGCGGUCACGGGGAUAAGCCACGAAAAUAUCUGCUAAGAAGUGCGCAUGCAAGAUCAUCGAUGGUAGCUAGCGAGAGUGUCACUUCAUCACAGUAGUAGUGUACGCUCAUUGCAAUAAAUCCAGUACAAUUUAUUGAAGACCAACACAAAUCUCCAUUGUUAGUAUACAGACGCCCAGCUAAUUGGUUGGAGAGUGUAGAGAGGAUUAAGAGUGUGACAAAACUUCCCAAAUCCCUCAUCUUUGACAUUACAUUUUGCAUUGGUCUUCCCUAGUCUUCCCACGAUUUUCAAGUAUAUUCCAUAGCAUUUGAGAGGACCUUUGCUUCCAGACAAAAAACCAUUCCCUGUCGCUUGGAAACAGAAUGAAGUCCCAAAUUGCCUUACUUGGAUUCCUUGCCUUCUCAAUUCGACGCUAAAUUGACGAGGUGACACUGCCAUUGUGCCGAUCUUGGAUGGCUUAAUCUUCCAAUAUCUCCAUGCCUUUGGAACAAUUCCGAAAUCGUUGACGAUAAAAUCGGGAAAGGAGACGUUAUUCUCAUCUCUGCUGCUUGAUCCACCCUCCUGAAACUGAAUUUCCCAUGCCGGACCACAUGGUGCAGGCUCAAUCACAAGCUCUUGCACUGAAGAAACUUUCACCCAGGUGCUAUGUAGAGUCGGAUCCAUCAACUUGUCGCCACAAUGAUGAUCUGUAGUUGGAACUCAUUAUAAUCCAAAUGUAAAACAAAUCAAAUGCAAGUUUCUUUUGUUAAGAAUUGAAGUGGCAACUUGAUAUUUUCAAAUAAACAUU